ACUCCUACGGGAGGCAGCAGUCGAGAAUCUUCGGCAAUGGGGGAAACCCUGACCGAGCGACGCCGCGUGCGGGAUGAAGGCCCUCGGGUUGUAAACCGCUGUCGUAAGGGAACAAAUCUAAGAGGGUACUCCCUUUUAGUUGAGUGAUCUUAGGAGGAAGGACGGGCUAAGUUCGUGCCAGCAGCCGCGGUAAU
rnacentral:rRNA from 1 species